UUUAGGAAGGUUUUUUAAAUGACAUUUAUUUUUUAAAAGUUAACAUGUGCAUAAUAGGAAACUGAAAAACACGAGAAGCAAAGAACAAAGUCAUCCAUAGUCACAAGCAGUUUAAGUUUGACAUGUCCUUCUAGGUCCUGUGUGUUCACCUACACAACUAAGCAUCCAUUUUUAUGUAAUUAAGAUCAUACAGUUAUGUAUCAUGCUUUUUCACACAUAAUGAAUAUUUAUCAUUUCAAAGUCCCAAAGCUAUAUAAGUAUUUUGAUAACCAAGAAUACACUACACCAACUCAAUCUGGAAGAAAAAAAAUGUAAUCGUGCCUUUCUUGGCGACAAAAGUGGCAAGAAGCCUCUAGAUAAAGAUACUGGCGGCGUUAUGAUUAAAAUACUGCAUUCCCUUAAUGUUCAAUUAAAAAUGAGACAUAAAGCAAGAGUACACAAAAUAUAAUACUUCUAAGAGAACUCGAUAUCCGAUCUAUACUAUUAAAAUAUUAGCAAGGGGGUAUGUUCCCACUGAAUUACUUAACAAUGAAUUCCUAUAGGACAGCCAAGAGGUGCACAGAGAUCAAUGGUUAUCAUCAAAAUGUAAGUAUGAACACAUCUUCAUACAUCCCUCCCCCUAUAUUUCCUUUCGCUCCUCUGCUGCCAACCUAACAAGUCCUCAAGUACAUUUCUCAGAGCUGGUUUAACAAUUCCAUGUCCAAGAUGGUUCUUUUCUAUCAAUUAGAACAAAAAGAUAUUUACAAAUUGGUUAAUUCACUAGCUCUACUUUUUAUCAUACAUUGUCACCUCAGGACAUCUAAAAAGCUUAGAUGCUGCAAAAUAAAGAACAAACCCUGUCUACAAUAAACACAGGUACUUUACAAAAAUGCACUUACAGACCUAUGUUAUUACCUAACACUGUCUUCUAGAUAUGGAGAUACCAGCAAAGAGCCCUUCCCUUCACCCUUCCGCUUCUCCCUCCUCCACCAUUUCAACGACUAAGUGUAGGACUGCAUCCAGCUCCAAGAGGCGGAUUAAUAAAGACACUCCAGAAGACAGUCCUUCCUAAAAACUAACAAAAGGGCAUUUUAAAAAGUGUUACUACCUCUACUUUUCCUACACUUUGGGCAUUAGGACUUGUUUAUCUUUUAAUACACGGCAAUAUUAACUAAAAUGCACAUACAGAACAAUGGUUAGACAGUCUAAACUUAUCUAGACUCAUGGGCACAGAAUCCUCUUGGCACUUCCUUCCCUGCCCCUCUCCCCCACACCCAGUGAACAGUCGGCAUACUCUCUAUCAAGGUUAACAAUCCCAUUCCAAAAACGCAACCAUUCCUAUGAAUUAACUGAAAAAAUACUUAAAGGGUAUUACUUUAACACUCUACUUCUAACAUAUGUUGUACGCUUUUAAACAUCUAGAAAGACUAGAUGUUUCAAAUAAGGAUUUAAGUUUGUCCACCACACACACAGUAGCACUGCAUAAACUGCACAUAAAGGCUAUAAUCUGCAAGUGUCUUCCCAACAGCAUCAUUCUAGCCUAGAAUCCUUCCCCCUCUAUCAACCCAGUGGACAAGCAUUUAUAAUGCUUCGAGGGGAUUUUAACUAUUUCACUUCCCUCAAGUCGUUUUCAGAACAGUCUUUCCUAUUGAUUUUAACACAAAGUGUACACAAUGUUUGUUUUCUAACUCUACGUUUGUCAUACACUGGCAACCUCUUUAACAUCUAGAAAGACUAGAUGUUGUAAAUUAGGACGCUUGUCCUUUAUAUACACUAUAUACACAGCUAAGUAAAACAAAACGCACAGACAUAUGGGACAAUGGUUAAUCUUGUCUAACUACAAACAUACUGGUAUAAAGCCCUUUGUACUCUCUUCUCCUUCCUCCCCAAACCAGCACAAAUGUAACAGUUACUGCUCAGAGAGGUGGUUUGAUCAUUUUGAUCAUUCCAUUUCUAAAAGACAGUAUUUCAUAUGAAUUUAACAAAAGGGUAUCUACAAAAUGUGUUAUUUUACUACCUCUACUUUUAACAUACUUUGUGCACUUCUGAACAUCUAGAAAGACUAGAUGUUUCAAAUAAGGACUUAUAUUUGUCCACUAUAUACACAGUAGUGUUGAAUAAACUACACACAUGUAGCAACAAUUAUUUCUGAAAGUGUCUUCUACUUCGGACAUUCUAAUCUAGAAUCCUUCAUUUCUCCCAACUCCUGCUCUCUACCACCAACUCAGUGGGUGAGUACAGGCACAUGUGUCACUUGGAUGUCAUUUUACAAUUUCAUUUCCAAAAGUCCUUUCCAGAAGACAGCCUUUUGAUGAAUUUAACACAAAGUGUACAAAAUGUGUUAGUUUACUAACUCUACUUUUGUCAUACAUUGGCAACCUCUUUAAUAUCUAGAGACUAGAUAUUAUAAAAUUAGGACCCAUUUGUCCAGUAUAUACACAAUAUAUACAGAAAAGUUAAAUGAAAUGCACAUAACAUAUAGGGCAAUGGAUAAGUGGACAUUUUCUAGUACACACUAGCAAAACAUCUUUUGGAAUUUAUUCCCUCCCACCUCCCUCAACCCAAUGAACAAGUACAGGGUAUACUGUUCAGAGAGGUGCUUUAACAAUUCCAUUUCCAAAGACAACAUUUCCCAUCAGUUCUGAAAAGCUAUUUACAAUAAGUGUUAUUUUACUUACUUCUACUUUUAAAAAAAUCAAGCACUUCUAAAUAUCUAGAAAGACUAGAUACUUUAUAUAAGAAUUUACUCGUCCACUAUGUACACAGCACUAUUAAAUAAAAUUGCACACAUGUAACAAUGGUUAUAAUCUGAGGUAUCUUCUAAAUGUGGCCAUUUUGGCCUGAACCAUUCCCUCCCUCACCUCCUCCUCUCCACAACCAAUCCAGUGGACAAGUACAGGUAUGAGUAAUGCUUUGAGGUGGUUGCACAAAUUCCUAUCUGAAAGUCAUUUACAGAAGGCAACACAAAGUGAAUUUCAACACAAAGUGUACAAAAUGUGCUAGUUUUACUAACUACUUCGUCAUACACUGGCAACCUCUUUUAACAUCUAGAGACUAGAUGCUGUAAAAUUAGGACUCAUUUGUCCAUUAUAUACAUUAUAUACACAGCAAAACAAAAUGCACAUAACAUACAAAAAAUGGUUUUGUCUGAAAAUGUCCAAGUAUGCACACACUAGCAUAUUACCAAUUGCAAUUCUUUCCCUCCCACCUCCUGCAAACCACUGAGCAAGUAUAAGCAAUAAUAUACUGUUCACAGAGAGGGUUUAACAAUUCCAUUUCCAAAAAGCAACAUUUCCAAUGAAUUUUAGCAAAAAAAUAUUUACAAAGUGAUAUUUUACUACCUCUACAUUUAACAUACGUCGGGCACUUCUAAACAUCUAGAUGGACUAGAUGUUUCAAAUAAGGACUGAAUUUGUCCACUAUAUACACAGCAGUCUUGAGUAAACUGCACACAUGGAACAGAAUCUGAAAGUCUUUGGAAUGUGAACAUUCUAGCCUAAGACCAACCUUUCCCUUCUCUCCCUCCUCCACCAACCCAGUGGGCUAGAAUGCUCAGAUUUUCAGGAGACAAUCUUUCCUAGGAAUUUUAACACAAAAUGUAUAAAAUGUAUUAGUUUACUAACUCUAUUUUUGUCAUACACUGGCAACCUCUUUAACAUCUAGAAAGACUAGAUGUUGUAAAUUAGGACUCAUUGGUCCGUUAUAUACAUUAUAUACACAGCAAAGUAAAACAAAAUGCAGGAACAUCAGGGACAAUGGUUAAUUCUGCCUCACUAACACACUGGCAUAGAGCUCUUUGUACUUCCCUCUCCCCCAGAACCAGCGCACAAACACAACGUGCACUGUUCAAAGGGGUGGUCUGGCCAUUCCCCCCAGAGAAACAGUAUUUCAUAAGAAUCUUAAAAAGAUAUUUACAAAAAUGUCUUUUUACUACCUCUACUUUUAACAUAUAUCAGGCACUUCAGAACAUGUAGAAAGACUAGAUAUUGCAAAAAAGUACUUAGCACUGUCAACUACAUACACAGUAGCGAGGAAUAAAAUGCACACACAAAACAAUGGUUAUAAAAUGAAAAUGUGUUCCAAAUAUGACCACUCUGGCACCGAGCCUUCGUUUCUUGUUCCUCAAGGUCUUCCACGCCACGUCCUCUAAUCCACUGCACAACCGUGGACGCGCGUCGCUCCUGCUGUCGCUUCCAGCGGUGGUCUAACAAUUCCAUUUCAAAGUCAUUUCCAGAAGACAUUUCUAUGAUGUUUUUGAAAACAAAUGGGCAUUUUACAAGACGUGUGAUUUUCUAACUCUACUUUAUCAUACGUCGGCAACCUCUUUACAUCUAGAAGGCCUAGAUGUAGCAAAAGUUUUCUUCUGAAAGGUUGAGGGGAAAGUUGAGAGCAGCUUUUUCAUAUUAUAUACACAGGCCUUCCAUAAACGGCCAGUAAAUCUUCCUAAAGGGUGGCGGUCACUUCCUGUGGGCCAAACGUGGUCUUUUCCUACCAUUUCUGUCUUCCAAGGUCAAGGUCUGACAGAACCGAGACCCAAAGCCCGAGGGCCCGCCGCCCCUUCCACCGUCAUCCACCGGGACGCCUCACCUUCAGGGCCCCUAAGGCCUUUGUCCGGCGUCGUCCGGACGAGGGGAGAUCUCGUCCCACUGGGACAGAGCGGUCACCGCCAUGUCCCGGAUCCGCGCGGCUCCAAGGCCUACGGGUGGCCCAGCCCGCGUCCAGCAGAGCCACCUAACGGCCCUCCUCUGCGUUCGAGCGGCCGCCAUUCUUCCGCCCCGCCACGCCCGAAGCCCAACGGCGCCGCGUCCUCGGCGGCGGCUUCGCCGCGGCCCAGCAAGGCUGCGCAGGGAGACAGGGGUCGGCAGAGUCCAGCCCCCGAGAGGCCGCCGCCAUUACGACGCGGAGGUGGGGGUGGGGCGAGAGGGUCGCUCCUGCUUCAAGGUCGGGCCCGGCCCGCGGGCAGCCGCGGCGAAGGCUCUGAGUCUCUGCAGGACAGAGCCCGCUACGGUCUGGCCCCGGGCCCCCCAGCCCACCCCCCGGCCCGAGGCCGGAGGGCCUGGAGGGCCCCGGGAGACAAGGCCGUGGUCCGCUUCUCACCGCGCUCUCUGCCGGAACUGACUUGGCAGUUCUCUUCGCUGGCGAGAGAGGAGGGGCACCGGAAGUGCCCU
rnacentral:lncRNA from 1 species